UACAGAGGGUGCGAGCGUUAAUCGGAAUUAUUGGGCGUAAAGAGCUCGUAGGCGGUUUGUUGCGUCGGCUGUGAAAUCCCGAGGCUCAACCUCGGGUCUGCAGUCGAUACGAGCAAACUAGAGUGUUGCAGGGGAGACUGGAAUUCCUGGUGUAGCGGUGAAAUGCGCAGAUAUCAGGAGGAACACCGGUGGCGAAGGCGGGUCUCUGGGCAACAACUGACGCUGAGGAGCGAAAGCGUGAGGAGCGAACAGG
rnacentral:rRNA from 1 species